rnacentral:rRNA from 1 species
AGAGCGAACGCUGGCGGCAGGCCUAAUACAUGCAAGUCGAGCGGCCACUUCGGUGGCAGCGGCGGACGGGUGAGUAACGCGUGGGAAUGUGCCCUUUGGUACGGAACAACUGAGGGAAACUUCAGCUAAUACCGUAUGUGCCCUUCGGGGGAAAGAUUUAUUGCCAUUGGAGCAGCCCGCGUUGGAUUAGCUAGUUGGUGGGGUAAAGCCCACCAAGGCGACGAUCCAUAGCUGGUCUGAGAGGAUGAUCAGCCACACUGGGACUGAGACACGGCCCAGACUCCUACGGGAGGCAGCAGUAGGGAAUCUUGCGCAAUGGGCGAAAGCCUGACGCAGCCAUGCCGCGUGAAUGAUGAAGGUCUUAGGAUUGUAAAAUUCUUCACCGGGAAGAUAAUGACGGUACCGGAGAAGAACGCCCGGCUAACUUCGCGCCAGCAGCCGC